UCCGGAGUAGCUCAAUGGUGGAGCAAGAAGCUGUUAACUUCGAGGCUGUCGGUUCGAAUCCGACCUCCGGAGCCA
rnacentral:tRNA from 1 species